rnacentral:rRNA from 1 species
CCUACGGGGGGCAGCAGUGGGGAAUAUUGGACAAUGGGGGAAACCCUGAUCCAGCGACGCCGCGUGAGUGAAGAAGUAUUUCGGUACGUAACGCUCUAUCAGCAGGAAAGAAAAUGACGGUACCUGACUAAGAAGCCCCGGCUAACUACGUGCCAGCAGCCGCGGUAAUACGUAGGGGGCAAGCGUUAUCCGGAUUUACUGGGUGUAAAGGGAGCGUAGACGGCAGCGCAAGUCUGGAGUGAAAUGCCGGGGACCAACCCCGGAACUGCUCUGGAAACUGUGAGGCUGGAGGGCAGGAGAGGUAAGCGGAAUUCCUGGUGGAGCGGUGAAAUGCGUAGAUAUCAGGAGGAACACCGGCGGCGAAGGCGGCUUACUGGACUGUAACUGACGUUGAGGCUCGAAGGCGUGGGGAGCAAACAGGAUUAGAUACCCGAGUAGUC